CGCUUCCAUGAUGAAUUAGACAAUCAUUAUACAGUUAUCCCUGUCUGAAUCCUAGUGUUGAUAUUAUCUACCUUCUGAUUUUGCG
rnacentral:snoRNA from 1 species